rnacentral:misc_RNA from 1 species
ACAGAAUAGGACACAGGUGAUAACCGGCCAGAUAAAUGUGGCUAUUGAAAUUAAUUUCAAAUUCAAACAACACUAGUUACAACUGAAAAUGGCGAAACGUACGAGUUAACUAGGUUAAUUGUGAAUUUCAUUCAAUGAGGCAAUAGAUAGAAAUCAGAAAAUUUGCAUGUGAUAAGAAAAUUUACUGCAAUAAAUUUUUUUAUGAAUAGAACAAGAUUGAAUAUUCAAUAGAGUAUACAGUAUAAUUUAGUCAAAACUGAAGAACUUUGCUGGUUAAUUGAUCCCAUAGAUGAUAUAAAUUUCACAUCCAAAAACUCAUCAUCACAAGCUAUGCAGAUAUUUCGCUGAAAUUUAUUUAAUACUAAAAAAAGGGGACUUAAAACAUACAAAUGAGAUGAUGGUAAGCAAUCAGGCCUAAGACACGCAAAAAAAAAAAAUUAAUAAUAAUAAUAAUAA